CGAACGAGAAUCUACUGAAAGAGUUUUCGGACGAUGGAAGUAGAGGAAAGUGGCGGACGGGUGAGUAACGCGUGAGGAACCUGCCUUGAAGAGGGGGACAACAGUUGGAAACGACUGCUAAUACCGCAUGAAGCAUAGGGGUCGCAUGAUUCUUAUGCCAAAGAUUUAUCGCUUCAAGAUGGCCUCGCGUCUGAUUAGCUAGUUGGCGGGGUAACGGCCCACCAAGGCGACGAUCAGUAGCCGGACUGAGAGGUUGAACGGCCACAUUGGGACUGAGAUACGGCCCAGACUCCUACGGGAGGCAGCAGUGGGGAAUAUUGGGCAAUGGGCGCAAGCCUGACCCAGCAACGCCGCGUGAAGGAAGAAGGCUUUCGGGUUGUAAACUUCUUUUAAGAGGGAAGAGCAGAAGACGGUACCUCUAGAAUAAGCCACGGCUAACUACGUGCCAGCAGCCGCGGUAAUACGUAGGUGGCAAGCGUUGUCCGGAUUUACUGGGUGUAAAGGGCGUGCAGCCGGGUCUGCAAGUCAGAUGUGAAAUCCAUGGGCUCAACCCAUGAACUGCAUUUGAAACUGUAGAUCUUGAGUGUCGGAGGGG
rnacentral:rRNA from 1 species